AUUGAACGCUGGCGGCAGGCUUAACACAUGCAAGUCGAGCGGGGACUUCGGUCCUAGCGGCGAACGGGUGAGGAAUGCUUGGGAAUCUGCCCAGUAGCGGGGGAUAACGUUUCGAAAGGAACGCUAAUACCGCAUACGCCCUACGGGGGAAAGGGGGGGGAUCUUCGGACCUCUCACUAUUGGAUGAGCCCAAGUCGGAUUUGCUAGUUGGUGAGGUAAAGGCUCACCAAGGCGACGAGCCGUAGCUGGUCUGAGAGGAUGAUCAGCCACACUGGAACUGAGAGGCGGUCCGGACUCCUACGGGAGGCAGCAGUGGUGAAUAUUGGACAAUGGGCGAAAGCCUGAUCCAGCCAUGCCGCGUGUGUGAAGAAGGCCUUCGGGUUGUAAAGCACUUUAAGCGAGGAGGAAUGGCUCCGGGUUAAUACCCUUGAGCAUAGACGUUACUCGCAGAAUAAGCACCGGCUAACUCUGUGCCAGCCGCCGCCGUAA
rnacentral:rRNA from 1 species